rnacentral:rRNA from 1 species
UGGUGACAUGUUGGAUUAAUUUCCCGAACGAGCGAAACCCAUCCCUUGUGCAUAUACUCUCAAGGGACCGCCAGUGAUAGACUGGAGGCAGGAAUGGAUGACGUCAAGUCCUCAUGACCCUUAUGAACUGGGCUACACACGUGUUACAAUGGUGUACACAAUAAGUUGCUAUGAUGAAAGUCGGCGCCAACCUCCAACGUACAUCCUAGUUCGGAUUGAUGUCUGCAACUCGACAUCAUAAAGAUGGAAUCACUAGUAAUCGUGGAUCAGCACGCCACGGUGAAUACGUACCUGAGCCUU